CAUGGAGGGUGAGAAUCCCGUCCGGUUGAUCAUUUGCGUUUUACGAUACGCUUUCUAAGAGUCAAGUUGUUUGGGAUUGCAGCUUAAAAUGGGAGGUAAAUUUCUCCUAAGGCUAAAUAACGGCGAGAGACCGAUAGCGAACAAGUACCGUGAGGGAAAGAUGAAAAGAACUUUGAAAAGAGAGUUAAACAGUACGUGAAAUUGUUGAAAGGGAAACGAUUGAAGCCAGUCGUACCUUCGGGUAAUCAGCCUUUCGGGUGCGAUUCUGUGGGGUUUGAGGAGCUUAACACCUUCAUGCUUUGCAUAUUCGUGCUCUUGGGUGUACUUGCCCGUGUGGUUGGUUAACAUCAAUUUUGGUGGUCAUAAAAUGACUGGAGGAAUGUAGCUUCGAUCUCGUAUUGAAGUGUUAUAGCCUUCGGUAGAUGUGAUGAUCGAGAUUGAGGAUUGCAACGGAUACCCUUCGGGGCUACCUGUCUGGUCUCUGAUCGUUGCUCUGGUGCUGAAAGCGUGCUUAUAGUUAUCAAAGUCGAUGGUCAAUAGGUUAGAACGGGUUAAAUUCGUUAAGGAUGUUGACGUAAUGG
rnacentral:rRNA from 1 species